UUGAAUUUCGUUUCGGCCAGGCCAGAACGCAGUCAGACGUUGUAGCGCGUUGGUCGUGAGGCGUGCCAAACACGGAGAAACCAUAGAAAUAAGAAUUCACAUAAAAAACCAGAACAACAACAGCGACUAAAACUAGAACAACGAUUGAACAGCAGCCAGGCGAACGAGAAAAUUUUUGGGCGAUUCCAUGUGAAGCAGCAAACGGAGCAGCAAGAAGCGCUCGAAUUCAAGGAGUCGUGGGCAGCAGCAUGGAUGAGGAGCACGACGACGACUAUCGAAUAAUAUGAGAUUAGAUGGGGCUUUAGAGCCCCGUCACGGUGCUGCGACGCUGCAGGGCCGCUUUAUUGGCGUUGCCAAGUAUCGGCGCGAGACGCGUGUAAAAUGUGAGCAACAGCAACAACAAUGCGCUGACGAAGACGACGAGGCAGCAGCCGAAGCAACAGCUAAAGACGUCAACAGCAGCAACAGUCUAAGCCAUAGCAAUAGCAGCAGCAGCAGCAGCAGCAGCAACAAUUGCCAUUGGACAGCGUUGGAGCAACAAGCGCGACACUUGUCGCCCAGCCAGGCGCCAGGCACAACAAUAACAAUAACACCCAAAACAAGCAAAGUCAACUUGCACUUAAGCAUUGAGGGCGCCACACCAACACCGCACACAGCAACAACAGCAACAGCAACAACAUCAACAACAGGAACAGCAGCAGCAGCAGCAACAACGUCCCCAAAAAUGCGUGAGGAGCAAUCGUUAAUGCUAAUGGGGCGUCGGGUCAGUGGCAGCAACUACCGCAUGGAAAACAUGAAAAACAUGGGGCGCCACACAAACACAAACAGCGUCCUAUGCCUGAUUUCCGUUGCCGUUGCGGCAUUGCUGCUGCCCCUGCCGCCGUUGGCUUUGGCCGAUGACGGUGACAAUUUCUUUGCCGUUAAUAGCUUCAGCGUGGGACCCGAGACAACAACACCCGAGUUUGAUUAUGCCAGUCGUGGGCAGAAGAAGUUUGGCGACAAGUGCGAAAAUACGUUGGAAUGCGGCUUUCCCGGCUCCAUAUGCGAUCCGAAGAAAAAGUCCUGCCAGUGCACCGAAGAUCUGCAAAUCACCAAUCACAUUGAUAAAUGUGGCAAGGCGGCUGCCAUCAACGAGAGCUGCUUCUUCAACGAGCAGUGUGAAGCGAUUUACUUUCAGACGGAAUGCCGGGAUGGACGCUGCAUAUGUCGCUUUGAGAUGUCGCCCAUCUGGGGCAAGGAUGGGUCUGUCGAGUGCAAAGGGCGCCAGGACAAGCGAGGACCCGAGACGUACAUUGAUCCGGCCAUGAUUGGAGUGCUGGUAGGAAUGGCAUUGAUGUUUAUUAUUAUUUGUGUCGUCCUGCGAUUGUUUAGCCAGGCACGUUGGCACGAGAAUCGCACCAUAUUUAAUACGCCGAAUCCUCGCUUGAUGAACGUAUCCCUGUUGCGGGACAAUAAGUUGCUGCAUGGCCAGGACAGGCGCGGCUCCCGGAUGUCUGUGCGGGCUCCAUCGCGACAACCGAGCAUGGCAUCGCUGCGUCCACAUUCGCCGAAUCCGUCGCUAGGUAAGACAGGUCGCAUGAUACGCUCGAAGAGCAACACGCGCUCGAGCGACUCCCGUGUCAGCGAUGUCUCCAACUGUUCGCGACUGCUGGAGCAUCAUCCGAGCGCUGCCAGUCAGUACAAUGUUGUCCAUAGCCAUUUUCUACCCUACGUGCCAACAACAACAUCAGCGACCGCCACAAUAACGAAUGCUGCCCCAGCCGCAACGACGACGACGACGACGUCAACGCCGAUGCCGACGCCGACGCCAGCAUCAUCUAUCACCGUGACGACUACGUAUGUGUCCUCGCCAGGAGCGGCUCCUGCUUGCGGCAUGACUGCCAAUCCGGAUGCCAAUAAGUUUUAGUCAUAGGCCAACAAUAAAAUAAAAAAUAAAUAAUAUACAUAUACAAAUAAAUGCAAUGCAGCCAUAUCAGUAUCCAGUAUCCAGUAUCCAGUUCCAGUUCCAGAUCCCGAACGAGGCUCCCAGUCGGAAUCUCAUGGCAGUGCCAGCAAUG